GUGUCAGCCGCCGCGGUAAUACAGAGGGGGCAAGCGUUGUUCGGAAUUAUUGGGCGUAAAGGGCGCGUAGGCGGCCAUCCAAGUCGGGUGUGAAAUCCCUCGGCUCAACCGAGGAACUGCACUCGAUACUGGUUGGCUCGAGUCCGGGAGGGGAUGGUGGAAUUCCCAGUGUAGCGGUGAAAUGCGUAGAUAUUGGGAAGAACACCGGUGGCGAAGGCGACCAUCUGGACCGGAACUGACGCUGAGGCGCGAAAGCCAGGGGAGCGAAUGGGAUUAGAUACCCUUGUAGUCC
rnacentral:rRNA from 1 species